UAAGGUGGUUAUAGCGACGGGGCUCACCUCUUACCAUUCCGAACAGAGAAGUUAAGCCCGUUUUGCGCCGAUGGUACUGCUUUUGUGGAAGAGUAGGUCGCCGCCUUUU
rnacentral:rRNA from 1 species